ensembl:lncRNA novel transcript
GUAUUUGUUGUGUGCAUGCCCGCAGAAUGGGAUACAGAGACUCACUCUAUUCAUCAGGGAUUUGUUUUAAUCAGGAAUUGGCAGGCAUGGGAAGAGCACGCUGUCCAGGGUCGGCAAGGCCUGGAAAUGUCAGAGCAUCAGAAUACUGAAAAUAAAAGACAUGGUUAAAUCUAUUUUGGUGGCGAGGCUGGGGACACUGGGAAUAUGAUACUGAUCAAUCUAGAAUGUGUGGAGGAGUGGACAGCAGUUUUUAAUCAGACAAGACCUUCAACCCCGGCACAGACCAUCAAUUGGCAGCUCCAAGAUUGGCAAGUGACCCAGACCCAGCCAAUCAAACAUACUCUGUGAUGGCAUCAGGAGGUGGGUUCGUGAGCCCAGCUUGUCUGAUCUGAGUCAGUCCCUGGACCUCUGCUGGGGAAUUGGGGAAGAGGCUUCUCUUUUCUACUGACCUUGCUGGGCUGAUGGGAGGAUCAGGAUCUGCUGGGGCAUCUUUGCCACCUCAUGAGAACUGUGUGACCCAGAAGGGAGCCCACCCAGGAGGACGCCAGCCUGAGAAAUGGAAGAGAACCCUUCCUGAUGAUGUCAUUUUGCACCAAGAUCCAGCUGUGCCUGUAGUCAAAUACUGCCGGGACAUUAAGUUUCUGGAGUGAAGAUAUUCAUGUUUUCAC